GUUGACCUCGGAUCAGGUAGGGAUACCCGCUGAACUUAAGCAUAUCAAUAAGCGGAGGAAAAGAAACCAACAGGGAUUGCCCCAGUAACGGCGAGUGAAGCGGCAAGAGCUCAAAUUUGAAAGCUGGCCCCCUCGGGGUCCGCAUUGUAAUUUGCAGAGGAUGCUUCGGGAGUGGCCCCCAUCUAAGUGCUCUGGAACGGGCCGUCAUAGAGGGUGAGAAUCCCGUAUGGGAUGGGGUGUCCGCGACCAUGUGAAGCUCCUUCGACGAGUCGAGUUGUUUGGGAAUGCAGCUCUAAAUGGGUGGUAAAUUUCAUCUAAAGCUAAAUAUUGGCCGGAGACCGAUAGCGCACAAGUAGAGUGAUCGAAAGAUGAAAAGCACUUUGAAAAGAGAGUUAAAAAGCACGUGAAAUUGUUGAAAGGGAAGCGCUUGCGACCAGACUCGCCUACGGGGUUCAGCCGGUAUUCGUACCGGUGUACUUCCCCGUGGGCGGGCCAGCGUCGGUUUGGGCGGCCGGUCAAAGGCCCUCGGAAUGUAACGCCUCUCGGGGCGUCUUAUAGCCGAGGGUGCCAUGCGGCCAGCCCGGACCGAGGAACGCGCUUCGGCACGGACGCUGGAAUAAUGGUCGUAAGCGACC
rnacentral:rRNA from 1 species